rnacentral:misc_RNA from 1 species
GAUGAAGAACGUAGCGAAAUGCGAUACUUGGUGUGAAUUGCAGAAUCCCGUGAACCAUCGAGUCUUUGAACGCAAGUUGCGCCCGAAGCCAUCAGGUUGAGGGCACGUCUGCCUGGGCGUCACAUAUCGUUGCCCAAUGCCUAUUGCAGUGCAAUAGGAAUUUCUAGGGCGAAUGAUGGCUUCCCGUGAGCGUUGUUGCCUCGCGGUUGGUUGAAAAUCGAGUCCUUGGUAGGGUGUGCCAUGGUAGAUGGUGGUCGAGUUAGAACGAUACCGAUCAUGUGCAUGCUCCCCAAAAUAUGGCCUCUAUGACCCACACGCGUCUUUUGACGCUCAUGACGAGACCUCAGGUCAGGCGGGGCUACCCGCUGAAUUUAAGCUUAUCAAUAAGCGGAGGA